UACGAAGGGGGCAAGCGUUGUUCGGAAUUACUGGGCGUAAAGGGUUCGUAGGCGGUGCGGCAAGUCGGGAGUGAAAUCUCUGGGCUUAACUCAGAGGCUGCUUUCGAAACUGCCGCGCUCGAGUGCGGGAGAGGCGAGUGGAAUUGCAGGUGUAGCGGUGAAAUGCGUAGAUAUCUGCAGGAACACCCGUGGCGAAGGCGGCUCGCUGGACCGCAACUGACGCUGAGGAACGAAAGCAUGGGGAGCAAACAGG
rnacentral:misc_RNA from 1 species